AUUGAACGCUGGCGGCAUGCUUUACACAUGCAAGUCGAACGGUAACAGGCCGCAAGGUGCUGACGAGUGGCGAACGGGUGAGUAAUGCAUCGGAACGUGCCCAGUCGUGGGGGAUAACUACUCGAAAGAGUAGCUAAUACCGCAUACGAUCUAUGGAUGAAAGCGGGGGACCGGAAGGCCUCGCGCGAUUGGAGCGGCCGAUGUCAGAUUAGGUAGUUGGUGGGGUAAAGGCUCACCAAGCCAACGAUCUGUAGCUGGUCUGAGAGGACAACCGGCCACACUGGGACUGAGCCACGGCCCAGACUCCUACGGGAGGCAGCAGUGGGGAAUGUUGGACAACGGGCGCAAGCCUGAUCCAGCAAUGCCGCGUGCAGGAAGAAGGCCUUCGGGUUGUAAACUGCUUUUGUACGGAACGAAACGGCUCUGGUUAAUACCCGGGGCUAAUGACGGUACCGGAAGAAUAAGCACCGGCUAACUACGUG
rnacentral:rRNA from 1 species